UACGUAGGAGGCAAGCGUUGUCCGGAAUUACUGGGCGUAAAGCGUGCGUAGGCGGUUCCUCAAGUCCGUUGUGAAAGCCCCGGGCUCAACCUGGGAAUGGCAGUGGAAACUAGGGGACUGGAAUCUGGCAGAGGGGGGUGGAAUGCCGCGUGUAGCAGUGAAAUGCGUAGAGAUGCGGCGGAACACCGAUGGCGAAGGCAGCCCCCUGGGCUGAGAUUGACGCUCAGGCACGAAAGCGUGGGGAGCAAACAGG
rnacentral:rRNA from 1 species